GACGAACGCUGGCGGCGUGCUUAACACAUGCAAGUCGAACGGAAAGGCCCUGCUUUUGUGGGGUGCUCGAGUGGCGAACGGGUGAGUAACACGUGAGUAACCUGCCCUUGACUUUGGGAUAACUUCAGGAAACUGGGGCGAAUACCGGAUAGGAGCUCCUGCUGCAUGGUGGGGGUUGGAAAGUGUCGGCGGUGGGGGAUGGACUCGCGGCUUAUCAGCUUGUUGGUGGGGUAGUGGCUUACCAAGGCUUUGACGGGUAGCCGGCCUGAGAGGGUGACCGGCCACAUUGGGACUGAGAUACGGCCCAGACUCCUACGGGAGGCAGCAGUGGGGAAUAUUGCACAAUGGGCGGAAGCCUGAUGCAGCAACGCCGCGUGCGGGAUGACGGCCUUCGGGUUGUAAACCGCUUUCGCCUGUGACGAAGCGUGAGUGACGGUAAUGGGUAAAGAAGCACCGGCUAACUACGUG
rnacentral:rRNA from 1 species